rnacentral:rRNA from 1 species
GGAGUUAGCCGGUGCUUCUUCUGUGAGUGAUGUCCUUCCUGCCGGCUAUUAACCCGCAGGCCUUCUUCCUCACUGAAAGUGCUUUACAACCCGAAGGCCUUCUUCACACACGCGGCAUGGCUGGAUCAGGGUUGCCCCCAUUGUCCAAUAUUCCCCACUGCUGCCUCCCGUAGGAGUCUGGGCCGUGUCUCAGUCCCAGUGUGGCUGAUCAUCCUCUCAGACCAGCUACGGAUCGUCGCCUUGGUGAGCCGUUACCUCACCAACCAGCUAAUCCGACAUAGGCUCAUCCGAUAGCGCGAGGCCCGAAGGUCCCCCGCUUUCCCCCGUAGGGCGUAUGCGGUAUUAGCCUGGGUUUCCCCAGGUUAUCCCCCACUACCGGGCAGAUUCCUAUGCAUUACUCACCCGUCCGCCGCUCGCCACCAGGGAGCAAGCUCCCCCGUGCUGCCGCUCGACUUGCAUGUGUUAGGCCUGCCGCCAGCGUUCAAUCUGAGCCAUGAUCAAACUCUGA